UGGCAAGUCUAGGCGGAGCGGCUAGGGGUCGCCUGAGAGAGGUUCUCCUCUUGACCGCAAAUCCUCUUUAAGGCGGGCCGAAAGCUGAUGCGAGGCUUAUCCUAACCGCUAAAACGGUCUAUCACUAAGGCAGUGAAGAUCCGCACUGGAGGACCGGCGGUGGAUGGCGGCUUUCCGUAGGGAAAGUUGGUCCAUCCUUCGUCGGAGGAACCGGUUAGGCCCGGGAGAGUGCGAGUAUAGUGAUACUUACGCCUUGAAGGAGCAGCCUAACUCUGGACGCCUGGUGCUUCCAGUAUCCCGGAUUGGAGACCAAGUGUUAGAUACGUUAGCGGGGCGAUUUGACGAGCAUCAGGACUUGCCA
rnacentral:SRP_RNA from 1 species